rnacentral:misc_RNA from 1 species
AAGUCGUAACAAGGUUUCCGUAGGUGAACCUGCGGAAGGAUCAUUAACAAAUCUGCUAUAUGGCGAGCCCGAAAGGGAUCGCACAUAUAUAUUUACCCCGAGCUGGUGUUGCACUUAUUGUGCAAAGGCCAGCUUUGGUUGGGCAGGCCUACCCUUUACCGGGCAGGCCUGCUCCGGACAGUGUUUGGAGGCCGCAAGGUUUUCGGACGCUGGCCACAUUGACGCUUGUAUGUUUGACAGAGUUACAGUUGUAAACUAAAAAAGACAACUUUUAACAAUGGAUCUCUUGGCUCUU